UACGAAGGGGGCUAGCGUUGCUCGGAAUCACUGGGCGUAAAGGGUGCGUAGGCGGGUCUUUAAGUCAGGGGUGAAAUCCUGGAGCUCAACUCCAGAACUGCCUUUGAUACUGAGGAUCUUGAGUCCGGGAGAGGUGAGUGGAACUGCGAGUGUAGAGGUGAAAUUCGUAGAUAUUCGCAAGAACACCGGUGGCGAAGGCGGCAUCCUGGACCGGUAUUGACGCUGAUGCGCGAAAGCCAGGGGAGCAAACGGG
rnacentral:rRNA from 1 species